rnacentral:tRNA from 1 species
GGCUGGAUAGCUCAGUCGGUAGAGCAUGAGACUCUUAAUCCCAGGCUCAUGGGUUCGAGCCCCAUGUUGGAUG